UCUUUCUUCAUAAAACAGUCCUGACAUCCCAGGAAUCAGUCUGGUGAACCGUCUCUGCACUCCCUCUAUGGCAAUAAUGUCCUUCCUCAGAUUUGGAGACCAAAACUGUACGCAAUACUCCAGGUGUGGUCUCAACAAGACCCUGAUGUGGGGGGUGGCCUCCGUGGUAAGAACUGUGUUGCUGGGCGCGUCUUCAAUGACCAAAGAAAGAAAGCGGAGAGGACGAUUAAUCCCUGAUACUGACACUUGAAUCCCGGCGGGUAACCUCGAACAUCAGUGGGAGGAUAUAAUUCUCCUGAGCAGCGAAUGCCAGCAAAGAUCCUAUAGCGAGCGCUAUAGAAUCGUUGAAUGCCAGCAGUCUCCUCAGGUAUUGGGCUGAGACGGACUUGGAGCCGCUCCCAGCGGGCUGGAUUCAGAGGCGUUACCCGUGGGGCGGAACUGUUUAUAGUUGCCAUUCUCCGCUCGCUGCCAUGUACUGUUGGGGUCUCGGUUGUUCUGUCCAUUUACCGCCUCGCACGCCUUCUGUGGUAAAGAACUCCACAGAUUUACCACCCUCUGACUAGACGGUCUUCCCAGUGCAAAAAGGCAAAGGUUAGCAAAGAGCGACUGCCUUGAUCCUGGAUGCACAAUGCUGAUGCUCUUUGACAGAUGGUACAAUAACUCAGUGACAUCACUUAGAGCAAAAAGCUUAGUAUAAAAGGCGGUGUACAGCCAGACAUCCGGUAGACCAGAGCUUGUGCUGAAUUACACUGCAUCGUGCAGGACGGCAUUGGGAUAUUCCGCCAAUAAUGUGAAGUCGUCGUGUCGUCUUCUCGGGAAGAACAUUUGGAAUUGCACGCUGCCCUCAUUUGAAGCAAGUAUCAUUCUUUCCCCAUGCUGGAUAUGAUUAUUCGACUGAACAGAUUAACUCCUAGUUACUUCCGAUUAUUACAGAUGCAGCUUGCGGGUGAGGCCGUGGUCCACAGUACUGACCGACUCAUCAACCUAUCUGCACUGCUCCUUGCCAUGAUGGGGGUUGGUCUGUCUUCCUAUAGUGUUAGGAGGAUGACCGUGAAAAGAGACUCUCCAACAAGCAGCUGAAACCGUGACAGACUAGGAGACAAGGCAGACAAUCUGCAACAACAUGUAUACGGGACCGAUACCCACGUAACAUGGCUCCUCUGUGGUACUCUGUACAGAUAGAGGGGAAAAACCAGGGGAAUUGCUGAGAAAGUGAAUGACUGAUGCAGCUUCUGAAUGGGAUCAGUGGCACAAUGAGAGUCUUUCAUAUGGACUUGAUAAGUGAGAGAAUGUUGAUGAUGUCCAGUGGAAGGUCUCACUGCAAGAAAUCACUUAAAGUCAUUGUUUUAACAGCAAGUUGCAAACUCAAGAAGUGUUUGACGUCAUUUGUAAUAAGGUCUCUGAGACCUGUGUGUCCGAACAAUUGUGAUUUAAGGGCGUACCAUUAUAGUGCAUCAACUUGUUUAGGCCUUGGUUCGAUCUGAACUCUUCAGCUCCCUGUAUGCUGUAUCCUGGAUUUACAUAUUUCUUCUACAGUGUUUACGAAUGGUUCAAAAUAUAAUGGUCAACAUGUGGCGAAUGGAUGCAGUAUCAAUGGGGGGUGAGCCUAAUGAGCAGGGGCUUCCCUGCUACCACUGGUACAUCACAGUAAGAGAUGGGCAUUCAUGGACAAUGAAGAGAUUCACAUUUGCUCAUUUCUCUGUGUUAUUUUCAAUGGAAGUACAGCUCGAAAUUGUGAGACAAGCCAUUCACACUUCAACAGCCGACUCAAACAUGCUCUUCAUUGUAGUGUUCUCAUGUCUGAGUAAAGAUGCUACUGCAGUUGUAUAGGGCCCUGGUGAGACCGUACCUGGAGUAUUGUGUGCAAUUUUGGCCUCCUAAUUUGAGGAAGGACAUUAUUGCUAUUGAGAGAGUACAACGAAGGUUCACCAGGUUAAUUGGCGGGACUGACGUAUGAUGAAUUGGGAAUUUAGAAGGAUUCCCUCCCUUCACCACCUCCAGUUUAAAUUCCAGUUGGAAUAUUUUGGAGGACCAAGUAACCAAGAACCAAGAUGAAAGGGGAUGUUAUAAACAUAUAACAUUCUUAGAGGAUUGGACAGGAAAAAUGUUCCCGAUGUUGGGGGAGUCCAGAACCAGGGGUAGGCCAUUUAGGACUGAGAUGAAGAGAAACUUUUUCACCCAGAGAGUUGUGAAUCUGUGGAUUUUUUUUGCCACAGAAGGCAGUGGAGGCCAGUUCAGUGGAUGGUUUCAUGAGAGUUAGAUUUAGCUCUUAGGGUCAUGGGAUCAAGGGAAAUGGGGAAAAAUCCGGAACGGGUUACUGAUUUUGGAUGACCAGCCCUGAUCACAUUGAAUGGCAGUGCUGGCUCUCAGGGCCAAAUGGCCCACUCCAGUACUUAUUUUCUAUGUUUCUCUGCCAUCAUUGCUGAAUUCAAUUUGGCUGGAGAUUUGAAUACGUAUAAAAAUAAGUUAAUUGAAAUACUUCACUGUCCCCUGAACUGCUGGACACACAAUUCCAUUAACGUCCAAGCUUGGAUUAUAAUAAUGACCAAACAAAGAUCAGAUGUGUUGGUGCCAGGAUCUUAACAAUUACAACAAAAGCAAAUAUCACAAAAAUGAACUCAUUAAAAUCAUUGACUGUGGGAUUAGGAAUGUAUGUUCUGCUAGCAGACACACCUCACCUUCUCAUAGUUACUGUCAUGUUCAGCAGUUUGGAUUAGCGUCCAAUAUGUACAAGGGCCAGCGGGCAGCUGUCUGGACCAUUUCCAGUGGCACUAAAAUGCGAGUUACAUAAGGGCUGACGUUACAAGCUUUUCCUUUAUGUAAGUACAGCCCCAAGCCUGGAGCUGCCCUACAUACGCUUCAGAGAGCAUUGUGUUUCAAACCAACCAACAGAUGUGACAGUCAGAAUGUUCCUCUGGGAGGAAACCUGUUAGAUACAGUGCAAUGCACUUCAUUCCUGGACUGCAUUUCAGGCUGGACUGCAUUUCAGGCUUGUUCAGUCAGGGCUUGUUUGCUAACACAACCUCCUUUGAGGCUAAAAGAAAUUGAAACAUUACAAACCUGAUUUCUGGCGGUGGAAAGCCCACUCUAUUGAGAUUAUUGCACAGUUUACAAUUAGGACUUGAGUCGAGGUCAAUUCCCUCAAAUCAAAAAUGUUACUUUGUGGUUUUGAUGCCCCAGACAGUCCUGAAAUAAGACCUAGACUAGAGUGCGUUGAGAGUACAUAAGCUGCCCAAAUACUCUGAGCAAAGGAAUCAAACAAAGAUUGGAAAGUAGACAAAAAUGCUGGAGAAAUUCAGCGGGUGAGGCAGCAUUUAUGGAACGAAGGAAUAGGUGACAUUUCAGGUCGAGACCCUUCUCAGUCUGAAGAAGGGUCCUAACCCAAAACGUCACCUAUUCCUUCGCUCCAUAAAUGCUGCCUCACCAGUUGCGUUUCUCCAGCAUUUUUGUCUACCUUCGAUUUUUCCAGCAUCUGCAGUUCCUUCUUAAACAAAGAUAGGAAGAGAACCUGCCUUCUGUCCACAGGGCCUGAUCCUAAGGUUCUUGUUGCAUGGUAUGUUAAUCCUCAAUCCCACUCCCAUUCAGAUUUAUCUUUCUGCAGCCUCCCCAAUGCCUCAGUGAGGCCCAACGUGAACUAGAAGAACAAUAUCCUGUCUUGUGUCUGGGCAUGAUCAUUGCAUUUAUUAAAUUUAAGGUAAACUGUUCUCCCAUCACCUUUGUUUCUAUAAACGGUGUUUCUAUAAACUGUCUUGCUAAUGAUCCUUAUUGGUUGAACUACCUUAACCUAAACUAUAUAGUCUUCUGAGUCUGAACAGUCCUGAAUUGAAACGUUGUCUGUCCAUUUCUUUCCACUGAUGCUGCCUGACCCACUGAGUUCCACCAAACAUUAUGUUCUUUUUACUUGGGAAUCCAGCAUUUGCAGUUUCUUUUGUCUCUAUAUAGUCUUCUAUCUAACUCUUACCUCCAAACUUUGCUUCAAAGAUUCUUCCUCUGGUUCUGAGGAAGAGUGUCUGGUCUCAAAAGUUAACUAGUUAUCUUUCCACAAAUGCUGCUUGGCUUGCUGAAUUCUUCCAGCAUUUCUAUUUUGCUUCCUACAAGAACUCUGAGUGGGAUGAGUGCAUAGUCAGAGUUACCUGGAUUUGUGGCUCCUAUCCUAUCUCAUAGGACCACUUCUGAGUCCUUCUCUUGUAUUUACACUGAGGUCUGAAGCUUCCUCAAUGGGAAGGUACUGAAAGCAAUGAGACUCACGGCCAUUUGUGGAGAGAUGAUAUUUGCACUCGCAUCUUGCAAACACUUGGAAUGAACCAUAUAACCAUAUAACAAUUACAGCACAGAAACAGGCCAUCUCGACCCUUCUAGUCCGCGCCGAACACAUAAUCUCCCCUAGUCCCAUAUACCUGCGCUCAGACCAUAACCCUCCAUUCCCUUCCCAUCCAUAUAACUAUCCAAUUUAUUUUAAAAUGAUAAAAACGAACCUGCCUCCACCACCUUCACUGGAAGCUCAUUCCACACAGCUACCACUCUCUGAGUAAAGAAGUUCCCCCUCAUGUUACCCCUAAACUUCAGUCCCUUAAUUCUCAUGUCAUGUCCCCUUGUUUGAAUCUUCCCUACUCUCAGUGGGAAAAGCUUUUCCACGUCAACUCUGUCUAUCCCUCUCAUCAUUUAAAAAAACCUCUAUCAAGUCCCCCCUUACUAUUUGUUUAAUACUAUGAAGCAUAGUAUUAAAGAAAUCUUUCAAGCCUGGUUGAAGUUUGACGGUCGCAUAGAUCUGCAGGACUUCCAAUGAACCCAUAAAUGUCCUUCGAUGCUGCCUGUGAUACCUUAAUCUUCUGUUCAUCAGUCUUCUGUGGAUAAGUCACUCCAAAUUAUCUAUCAUGUUGAUUGUUGCAUUUAUAAUGUCUGUGCUGCUUUGAUGUGAUAUUAAUGUGUGAGUUAAUAUUGUGGAUUGUGAUCCUAUGGCUAUGAUUUCCAAUCCAGCUGAUGCAAAAUGGCAAAUUAAGGUUCUCUUCACACCCAGUUACUGCGAAGGAAACAAUGACAAAAGGGGGUGAGUGAUGACUUUCUGAGUUUGGAAAAUUCAGAACCUGUGCUGUUUGACUCUGUUUGACUCAUGAACUGUAUUUUACCAAAGCUCUCUGGAUCACCUAUCUUCCCAAACCAUGCUCACCAAAGGCAGUGGGGAAGAGGUGCGGGCAUUGCACAGGUUAUCCUGAAGCUGUUCUCGUAAGUUGUUUCUCAGGCAAUACAAGAAAUCAAAGGGAUUGAAACUAGUUGCCACUGGAAACCUUGCAGUAAUUGGGGCUGUGUUUCAGAGAAUCAUAGUCAUUAAUGUAAAGGAGGUCAUUUGACCUAUCAUGCCAAAAAAGGACCUUCAUGUUUCUCUCUCAAUCCAUAGCCUUAUAAGUAAUGGCUCUUCAAGUGCUCGUUAAGUUAUCCUCUAAAUAUGAUGAAAGUUUCAAACUCCACCACUCUCUCAAGUAAAGAAAGCAAUAUGUUUUCAAUUAGUUCCUAUCAAUUAUCUUCAAUCUAUGCCCCUAAUGGUUAACACCCUUCUACUGAGCAAAGUGGUUCAUUUUGUUCACCCCAUCUCUACCUCUCACUAAUGUAUCCAGCUCAAUUUUAUUUCUCUUUAAUUUCCUUUGAUUCAAGGAAAAUAACCCGAUAAGCUGCUCAGAAUUUAAACUUUCCAGUUCUGGCAACAAACUGCAAAUCUCCUCUGCACCCUCGAGUGCAAUUGCAUCUUUCCUUCCUGUCGUGACCAAAACUAUUCAUUUUAUUCUAGCUGAAGCUUAUCUAGCCUUUUUAUUGCUUCCAACAUGACUGGUUUGGUCUUGGUGAAUAAAAAUAUUCCCCAUGCCUUCUUAAUUAUUUUAGCCACCUGUCCUAGUACAUUCAUAGGUCAAUGGACAUUCACCUCUAGAUCGUUCACCUCUUGUUCACCUCUAGAUAGUUCAGUUCCACUAAGUUUUCCCGAAUCCACCACUUAUUGUGUAUUCCCUGGCCUUGUUUGUCCUCUUUAAACACAUUACAUUUUUUCUGAUAACUUGAAUCUCAUUUGCCACAUUUAUGCCUGUCUAACAAGUCCAUUAAUUCUGUGGAGCCUUGCUGGACAGUCUUAAAGUAAGCUAUUCACCCCUAUUCUCCAUUUUCUCUCUGUUAAAUUAUUGCCUUCUAUGUCAUGGGUGUGUGAAAUAAUCUUUUAUAGGGCAGAUUAUUGAAAAUCUUUUUGAAAUGCAUGUAUACAACAUCCACUGUUUCUCGAAGGUAGACAAAAGUGCUGGAGAAACUCGGCGGGUGUAGCAGCAUCUAUGGAGGGAAGGUAAUAGGCAACGUUUCGGGUCAGAACCUCAGUCUGAAGAAGGGUUUCAGCCCGAAACGUUGCCUAUUUCCUUUGCUUCAUAGAUGCUGCUGCACCCUCUGAGUUUCUCCAGCACUUUUGUCUACCUUCGAUUUUCCAGCAUCUGCAGUUCCUUCUUAAACACUUAAUCCACUGUUUCUCCUUUAUCCAUCCUGCCAAUUUUAUCAACAUGUCAUAGUCUUACUGCGUGGAAACAGACCCUUUGGCCCAACUUGCCCAUACUGUCCAAAAUGUCCUAUCUACACUAGUCCCACCAGCCUGCGUUUGGCCUAUAUCCCUCUAAACUUGUUCUAUCCAUAGUAUUGUUUCUUGAUUAGUGCAGGUGUCAGAGGUUAUGGGGAGAAGGCAGGAGAAUGGGGUUAGGAGGGAGAUAGAUCAGAGAUAGAUUGAAUGUUGGAGUAGACUUGAUGGGCUGAAUGUCCUAAUUCUACUAUUCCUUAUGACCUUAUGUACUCCAAUGAAUUUGCUAAACACGAUUAUCUUUAAUUAUAACAAAAUUGACGCUGCACUAUUUUCUGAGUGACCCGUGUGUCUUCCUUAAUAAUGGACUCUGUUAUUUCCCGAAAUGACAGACCCUGACCUAAUUGGCUUCCAUGGUUCAGUGCUUUUUUUCUCAUUCCUUUCUGGAACAGAGGUAUUACAUUUGUACUUUCCUAAUUCACUGAGAGCUUUCCAUAAUCUAACGUGUUUUGAACAUGAUUUGAACAUGGUCAGCAAUGACAGCAUCUCUGAGGGAGCUCAACCUCCCUCAAGGUGACACCAUUUGUGCUCACACCUCUGCCAUUCUUACUCAUUGCCUAAGAUGGAAUAGUAGGACUGGGCAUUGAAGCAGUAGGGCGGGCAAAGAGCAAUAGAAGAAUGCUCAAACGUCCUUAGUGAUGAGAUGAAUCUUUGUAUUGAUUAGAUGUAUUGAAUUGUUUGGUUGUGCAUCCUGUUCUCAUUCCAUGCACAAAAGGAUAGAUCAAGUUGAUUUCCCAUGGUAUUGAUAGAUGAUCAGCACCAAUGGGAUGAAUAUGGGAACACAAAGGAACAAGGAUACAUAUUUCCACAUUAGGUUGGUGUGACACCUUCCACGUGUGAGAGGAUCAAAGUGAUGGUUGCCUUGGCUUCAGGGUGGUAGAGGUUGAGACUUCACCAUGUGCUCUCAAGGAACCUUUGAUGAAUGGUAGACACACACUUUGUUCUAAAUGUGCUCAAACCUUUUCAAUGUAUUUGAACGUACUCAGAUUACACAAAAAUACAACUACAAAACUACAAACAACUUCCAUACCAUAGGCUUGGGACCUUGCCGAUAGUGAGGUGCCUUUGCAAAGUCAACCGAUAAAUACUUUGCUGCAAUAUAUGCACCCUCCAAAAUGCCCUAGCAAUAGUAACUAAGUGCCAUCUCUGAUCCUCCGGAUUUUGUUUAUGGGAACUGUGCAAUAGUAAUGCUGUUUGAAUGCCAAUGGGAAAUGGUUGGAGAUUAGUGAUGGGGGAAUGAAUUGGUUGGAGAUAAGGGGGGUGUGCAUACAUACAGUGUUGGGUGUGUGUAUUCAUGCAUAUAUGAAUGGUGUGUGCAUGUGUGUGGAAGUAAUGACUUUUAUGAUAAUGGUUUAUCUGUGUGUGUGUACAUAAGUAUAGCAAUUCAAAUAAAGGAAUGAUGGUAUAAUUAUUGGGGUGGUCUGCUAUAUAUAUGUAUGUGUGUGUGUGUAUAUAUAUAUAUGUGUGUGUGUGUGUGUGUGUGUGUAUAUAUGUAUAUGUGUGUGUGUGUGUGUGUGUGUGUAUAUGUAUAUGUGUGUGUGUGUGUCUGUGUGUAUAUAUGUGUGUAUGAGAGAGGGAGAUUUACAUAUAUGUUGGGAUGAAGUAACCAUGGUAUCUGUUCUACAACAGGAGUAUAAUUUCCACUACUCUGUAUUUCAACUCCCUUGAGAUGAAGGUUAACAUGUCAGCAGACGGUUUCAUUCUUAUUUUAACUAUUAUGGAUUGUUUAUUGUGUGCUGGCCAUUUGUUAAAUAGAAAGAGUAAAUGGCGCCCUCUCCUGGUAGAUAAUGUUAAAAUCACAUUACAUGGGCAGUCAUAUGAAAUUAACUUCUUGUAUCAUAUUUUAACACUUAGACAUGACAUCACUCAUGCCUCGUUAAAAAUGCAAGUCACAAAUCUAAGAAACACACUGAGUUGGUUCUUCUUCUGAGACAGUCUAUCCGGGUUGAGGAUGACUUGUUUCCACUUCUGUUCUGAGGAGUGGAAUAUGCUUAUGAAUUAUUUUUUAUAAUGUUGGAUUGUCAUCACAUGGGUUUAAUAAAAAGAGGCCUUGGUCCAAUGAUAUGGAGGUUCAAAAAGAUGAGACGCAUUUUGACUACAAAGUACAGAGACUGUGCCUGUUCCUGUUGCACUUUGACAACUGUAAAAGUUGAGAGAUGCUGCCUGUCCCCCUGAGUUACUCCAGUAAUUGGUGUAUAUCUGAACUUUUACAAUGUUAUAAAUAUUAUUACUGUUGUUAUAUUGUUAAUGCUCUAACUAUAUAGAUUAUUUGCUACUGUUUCUUUAUCACUACUGUCUCUGUAAUUACAAUAUAUAUACAUUAUAUUACACAUAACAAAUUAAAACAUCUAAAGCACUUUGUAGAAGUAUUAUUAAAUAAAAUGUGUAGGCAGGAACUGCAGAUGGUGUUUACACUGAAGAUAGACACAAAAUGCUGAAGUAACUCAGCGGGACAGGCAGCAUCUCUGGAGAGAAGGAAUGGGUGACAUUUUGGGUCGAGACCCUUCUGACUGUUUCAGACUACUAUCAAGAGAUGCUGCCAUUCCCACUGAGCUACUCCGGCAUAAUGUGUCUGUUUAUCUAUAUUAAAUAAAAUUUGUCCGAAUAGAGUAUCCAACCCAAGUCUUGGGCAGAGCUCUUGAAAGGCGACCCCCAAAAGGGAGAAAGAGAGACUGAGAGAUGGAAACUAAAGAUGGGCAGAUUCCAGAGCUUCAGCCCUACACUCUGAAGGUACAGCUGCCACAAUGGUGUAAUCACUUUGGGGCAUGUAUGGAGGCCAGAAAUUGAGCAACAUGGAAGGUUGUACAUCCAGAGGAAGUUACAGAUACGGAGAGAGGUGAGAAGCAUAGAUGAUUUGGAAAGAAAUGGGAAGUGAAUUUUAAUACUGAAAUACUGUGCACACUGAGAGCCAACAUUAGAAGCAGAGGAAUGGGUGAACUGUACUGCUGUUGUGUUGGUUAGUUAAUGGCAGCAGAGGUUUGGCUGAGCUCCAGGUUUAUAGAGGGUGCAAGGUGGAAGGGUGGUCAAAGCAGUCCUUGAGUAGAUAAACCUAGGAGGAACAAAUGCAUUGGAUAGGAGGUUUUAGUAACAGAUGCAGUAAAGUAAGGCCCAGGAUGAGCAAAGUUUUGGAUGUGAAUAAGAAAAACUUCCUCGAAACUACAUGGGUUAUUCACCAUAUCAUGAUUGGUGUCUGAUCAUAUUCCUGUGAACACAGGAGCGUGAAGACUUUUAUAAAAGGCUUCUUCUAUUGCUGUUCACCUUACUGUUGUUUCUUCAUGGCUAAUCCGUAUUUUAAAUGUUUCAAAUCAAUUUUAAUUCAAGUGGCCUUCCCCUACCUUGUUCUCUAACAUGCCCCAAUUAGUUUUGUUUAGUGAUACAGCACGGAAACGGGACCUUCGCCCCACCAAGUCCACGCUGAGUUCUGUUAUCCCACUUUCUCAUCUACUCCCUACACACAAGGGGCAAUUUACAGAGGCCAAUGAACCUGCACAUCUUUUUGGGAUGUGGGACGAAACUGGACACCCAGAGGAUACCCACACAGACACAGGAAAAACGUGAAACUUCGCACAGACAGCACCCAAGGUCAGGAUUAUACCCGGACCUCUGGCGCAGUGAGGCAGCAGCCCCAUCAGCAGUGCCACUGUGCCGCUCUUUACCAACCUUACAAGGUAUCUGAGUUUCUUUAUUUCAUGCAUUCUUGAUAUUAAUCACACCCAUGCAGUGGAUGGCUGGAUGUCUGGGCAGAAGUCGUACAGAGGGUGCUGGAAAUACUCAGCGGGACAAGUACUGUUCUGUCGCAAGAAAAGCAGAAAUAUUUCAGGCCAUCGACCCUUCAUUAAAACAAGAGAAGUGAGAAAACAAGUGUUUACAUUUUUGUUCUCACUUCAUAAAAGCCUUCCUGACCUGCUGAGCUUUUCUGCCAUUUUCUUUUCAAUUUCAGUUUACUUGUUUGUAGUUUUUUGAUUUUCGAUUAGGCUGCUUUCAUUUCCUCCUCUUCCUAGUAUAUUUCUCCCACACCUCAUCAACAUCAGCUUCUGGAUGUUCCAUCCACCUCCUUUCCCUUCAUCAAAAAUCAAUGUGCUGGAGGAAGCCAGCAGGUCAGUCAGCAUCUGUGGAGGGGAAUGGUUUGUCUGAAGAAGGCUCCUGACCCAAAUCGUUGUCCGUCUGUCCAUUUUCCUCUGCAGAUGCUGUCUGGCCUGCUGAGUUCCUCUAGCACUUUGUUUUUUUGCUCAAGUUACCAGCAUUUGCAGUUUUCUUCUAUCUGCUUUCGCUUCGUGACCACUUUAACAGUUGCUGCAUCUUUAGGAGCCAACAUACAGGCAGUGUUUCUUUAAGGAAUCCUGGGAUUGUUCAAAACUUUCUAUCAGUAAUCUGCAUAUACUCUUUUUAAAUUAUUCCUUGGCUUUCACAAGUCUCCUUUCAUUCUUGUAAAUUAACCCUCAACAGAUCUGCAUUCCGACAGUUUGGAUGUGUACCUCUGUAGGACUAAGCUGCUUCUCCCUCUCUCACUCCAUCACCUAAUAAAACCAAGAAGCAAUGUUAAGGCAAGGAAUAGGAGGUUUGGAGGGGACCUGAUAAUGUUUUUAAAUCUAGAAGUUAAAUCUAGAAGUUGAAUAUGGAACACAUUGCAGGUGAAAAUGUUGAUGAAAGCAGAGACUAUUACAUUAUUUAGGAAGUAACUAAAUAAGCAUUUGAAUAAACAAGACAUAAAAGGUUAUGGAUCAAAGGCUGCAAAAUUGAUUUUAUAUAGAUGGGCACUGGAUGGUAGGUAUGACGAUGGCAGGCUGUAGGCCUUGCUUCUGUGCUGGAUGAACAUGCCAUUUUUCACACUUUAAUGUUCUGAUUUCCUGACAUUUUUCUUCAAUUAUCAUGGGACUUUUUCGUUUGUUUGUGGCUUCUGUACAUUCCCACCCUUCACUGAAGUCAGUCUGCCUCCCCCUGGGUCUUGUCAAGGUCAGACUAGAGGUCCUGGUUUGCUUAUUCCAUGGGUAUGACGUGUGCACUGGUGAUUAUUGUGUGUUGGUUGCAUAUUUUGAGUGCACGGUGGAUCAUGAGGAGUCACUGAGACCAGAGAGCAGCUCAUUCUUGAUUGCAAAGCUCUCACAUGAAGGCAGUAUUUACCCUUCUUCUGCCUUGUCCUUUGUGUUGGCUGCUUGCUGUUUAUCAUGUAUCCCUCAGGGUGACAAUAACGAUGACAAAGUGUCUGAGUUUCCACAGCAUGAUGGCAGAGUGUCGUUCAGGUCUGACACCGAGAAUCCUGAUAUUCGAGGUCCUGAACUUCAUACUGUGGUAUGGAAGUGGUCUGCCUGAGUUCUCUUAGCAUGUGCUGCCAAUUGUAUGCCAGCUACCAGAUGGCUUGACAAAGUGAAGCACUGAGCCAGUGGCAAAGACACAAACCACUUGCUUCUGAGCUGUAUGACUAGAUGGCCUUCAUCUUUCAUGCUAUUACCUUUUAUGUUCUGAUAUGUUUCCUGGUAUUUUUCUUCAGUUAGCAAGGAGGUAGAUGCAAAGGUAUCUACAGAGGUAUCCUUUUCCUGUCAUAAUGCUUGGAGUAUGGUCUUGUCAUUAAACAACAGCCCUGUUUCACCAGAAAGACGAGCACAAGAUCUUGGCAUCUGUUCGAUUGCACGAUCAUUCAAACAACAGAACACAAGGAUGUCUACAUCAUCUACAUUGUGGUACAUUAAAGCCUCCUCAUGAGACAACAUGCAGCAAGUGAAACCAAUGGGAAAAAUACAUUAUAGGGGGUCGCAGACAAGUUAUGUGAAGAGGGCAGAAAAAAAUGUAUGUUUAUGAAGUGUGAGAUUUUCUACUGAGCAACCAAAGAAAGAUAAACUGUGGAGUAACAAAGGAAUUUGAAAUUCCAGGUACCUAAUCAUCAAAUUUUGUGGGGUUUUAUUUGAGAUGGCCAAGAACCUAAAAGCUGGUAAGUGGUGUUUCAGUUGUACUGAAUAUUAGUCAGUAUCCCCUUUGGGAAAUCAAUCCGUGGGAGAACGGGCCAAACUCACUGGGGUCUGGGAAAGGAUGAACCACCUCAAAUGUAGCUUAAAUUUAAAUGCAUGAGAUCGACAACUGUUGAUUGGUAUUGUUCUAAUAAAGACUGGAAACAAUAAAAGGCGAUGAAUGCCCUUUACCUCUGGGUUUGUCUGAGUAAGUUUGUGUGCCUACUUCUCUUAUUCUUUCUUGCAUUGUG